CAGCAGCCACGGUAAUACGGAGGGUGCAAGCGUUAAUCGGAAUUACUGGGCGUAAAGAGCUCGUAGGCGGUUUGUCGCGUCUGCUGUGAAAUCCCGAGGCUCAACCUCGGGCUUGCAGUGGGUACGGGCAGACUAGAGUGCGGUAGGGGAGAUUGGAAUUCCUGGUGUAGCGGUGGAAUGCGCAGAUAUCAGGAGGAACACCGAUGGCGAAGGCAGAUCUCUGGGCCGUAACUGACGCUGAGGAGCGAAAGCGUGGGGAGCGAACAGGAUUAGAUACCCCCGUAGUCCCUGUCUCUUAUAC
rnacentral:rRNA from 1 species